CAGAGUAUGAAGAGGGGAAGGAGCGGUGUGGGGACGCUCUGCUCAGCUGUGGGGCCACAGAAGGCAGGACGCCCUGACCAUGUCCACCAUGGCCUGGUGCCCUCUUCUCCUCACCCUGGUCGCUCUCUGCACAGGAUCCUGGGCCCAGACUGUACUGACUCAGCCGUCCUCCGUGUCUGGGUCCCCGGGUCAGAGGGUCAGCAUCACCUGCUCUGGAAGCAGCAGCAACGUUGGUCGUGGUAAUAAUUAUGUGGGCUGGUACCAACAGCUCCCAGGAUCGGCCCCCAGACAGCUCAUCUAUAGUGCAACCAGUCGAGCCUCGGGGGUCCCCGACCGAUUCUCCGGCUCCAGGUCUGGGAACACAGCCACCCUGACCAUCAGUUCGCUCCAGGCUGAGGACGAGGGGGAUUAUUACUGCGGAUCUUAUGACAGUAGUAGUUAUAAUGGCACAGUGCUCCAGGCCAGGGGGGAAGUGAGACAAAAACCUGCUCUCCCCCAGGUCAUGGGCUUCCCGGGGCUGAACCAUCCUCUGCCAAAGUAGCAAAAUGUUUGGUUU